rnacentral:rRNA from 1 species
UGCAAGUCGAGCGGACAGAUGGGAGCUUGCUCCCUGAUGUUAGCGGCGGACGGGUGAGUAACACGUGGGUAACCUGCCUGUAAGACUGGGAUAACUCCGGGAAACCGGGGCUAAUACCGGAUGGUUGUUUGAACCGCAUGGUUCAAACAUAAAAGGUGGCUUCGGCUACCACUUACAGAUGGACCCGCGGCGCAUUAGCUAGUUGGUGAGGUAACGGCUCACCAAGGCAACGAUGCGUAGCCGACCUGAGAGGGUGAUCGGCCACACUGGGACUGAGACACGGCCCAGACUCCUACGGGAGGCAGCAGUAGGGAAUCUUCCGCAAUGGACGAAAGUCUGACGGAGCAACGCCGCGUGAGUGAUGAAGGUUUUCGGAUCGUAAAGCUCUGUUGUUAGGGAAGAACAAGUACCGUUCGAAUAGGGCGGUACCUUGACGGUACCUAACCAGAAAGCCACGGCUAACUACGUGCCAGCAGCCGCGGUAAUACGUAGGUGGCAAGCGUUGUCCGGAAUUAUUGGGCGUAAAGGGCUCGCAGGCGGUUUCUUAAGUCUG